AAGAAGAGAAAAGGCUGUCACGGAAAAGGACACACAUGUUACCUCUCUCCUCCAUCACCCUCCCUUCAACGGUAAUAACAAAAAAUUGAAAAAAGAAGCUAGCACACACACGUCGCUCUUCACUCACUCUCUCUCUCUCUGCUCACUAAAAACAAAAGAAAAAGAAAAUAAAAGAGGAGAGGGAAUCUCUCUCAUGGGGAUCUAGCUUCCACAACGCACCUCUUCAAGACCCACUCUCUGAAGAUAAAAAGAAAAAGAAAUAAAAACAAGAACAAAAAAG
rnacentral:lncRNA from 1 species